GCCCUGAUGGCUCAGUUGGUUAGAGCGCAGGUCUCAUACUAUUUGUGUGACCGGUAUGGUUACCGGGUAAUCCUGAGGUCGCAAGUUCGAACCUUGCUCAGGGCA